rnacentral:rRNA from 1 species
UGACCUCGGAUCAGGUAGGGAUACCCGCUGAACUUAAGCAUAUCAAUAAGCGGAGGAAAAGAAACCAACCGGGAUUGCCUCAGUAACGGCGAGUGAAGCGGCAAGAGCUCAAAUUUGAAAGCUGGCUCCUUCGGGGUCCGCAUUGUAAUUUGCAGAGGAUGCUUCGGGGCGGCCCCUGUCUAAGUGCCCUGGAACGGGCCGUCAGAGAGGGUGAGAAUCCCGUCUGGGAUGGGGUGUCCGCGCCCGUGUGAAGCUCCUUCGACGAGUCGAGUUGUUUGGGAAUGCAGCUCUAAAUGGGUGGUAAAUUUCAUCUAAAGCUAAAUACUGGCCGGAGACCGAUAGCGCACAAGUAGAGUGAUCGAAAGAUGAAAAGCACUUUGAAAAGAGAGUUAAAAAGCACGUGAAAUUGUUGAAAGGGAAGCGCUUGCGACCAGACUCGCCUCCAGGGUUCAGCCGGCAUUCGUGCCGGUGUACUUCCCUGGGGGCGGGCCAGCGUCGGUUUGGGCGGCCGGUCAAAGGCUCCCGGAAUGUAGUGCCCUCCGGGGCACCUUAUAGCCGGGAGUGCAAUGCGGCCAGCCUGGACCGAGGAACGCGC